rnacentral:lncRNA from 1 species
UGCUGGCCUCAUAGAGUGAGUUAGAGAGGAGUCCCUCCUUGUCAAAUUUUUGGAAUAGUUUUAGCAGGAAUGGUACCAGCUCUUCUAUGUACAUCUGGCAGAAUAUAGCUGUGAAUCCGUCUGGUCCUGCACUUUUUUUAGUUGCUUGCAUGCUUUGAUAAAUCAAGCUGACAUCUUGGAGAGGCCCAUAAGGCAAGAAACUGACAAUAGCAUCCAGCCAACUGCCAACUAGGAACUGAGACCUUCAGUUCAGUAGACUGAAAGGAACUGAAUUCUACCAACAACUAUGUGAGCUUGGAAGGAGAUCCUUCUCCAGUCAAUCUUUCAGAUGAAACCCCAGCCCUAGAUGACAUCUUAAUUGCAGUUUUGUUACACAUUCUGAAGCACAGGAUCCAUGGCCACAUACACCAUGUGUUCCAGAUGGCACAAGUACACAACGGCAGAGUUUCCACUGGUCUGGAGCCCUAAGCAACUGUGUGGAGAAGUUUGUCACUGACUUGUGCUGAACAAGUAGCAUGUGUGAUAAAUCAUAUGUUAAAGCAAUGAUAUUUAUUUAUUGUUACUUCAACAUAGCCUAGUUAUCUGACUAACAUAGUAGGAUACAGAUUUUUCUCUGUAUCUCACAAGCAGCAUCCCAUAUACUUUCCUGAAGCAAUAGUUUCUCCAUGAAUAGUCACUGAAUGAAAACAAUCAAACACCUACUACUUUUCAGGAGAACACAAAAUGAUCAAUUUGGGGCAAGAAAAAUGGAAGAAUAUAAUUAAAAAAGCUUAAAAAUUAUAUCAAGGAACCUAUUCCCAUCAUGUCUUUCAAAUAAAAUGGAAGACUAUAAAAUAUAAAUGGAUAAAAGACCAGGCUUUAGAACUAGGUUUGAGCUCAAGCCAAGGAGAGAGGCCUCACUUAGAAACCAACCUUGCUGGCUCCUGGAUCUUGGAUUUCCAGUCUCAAGAACUGUAAGAAAAUUUAUUUCUGUUGUUUAAGCCACCUAGUCUACGAUAUUCUGCUAUGGCAGCCCAAGCAGACUAAUGCAGCCU